rnacentral:rRNA from 1 species
UUAAGCGACUAAGCGUACACGGUGGAUGCCCUGGCAGUCAGAGGCGAUGAAGGGCGUGCUAAUCUGCGAUAAGCGCCGGUAAGGUGAUAUGAACCGUUAUAACCGGCGAUACCCGAAUGGGGAAACCCAGUGUGAUUCGUCACACUAUCAUUAACUGAAUCCAUAGGUUAAUGAGGCGAACCGGGGGAACUGAAACAUCUAAGUACCCCGAGGAAAAGAAAUCAACCGAGAUUCCCCCAGUAGCGGCGAGCGAACGGGGAGGAGCCCAGAGCCUGAAUCAGCAUGUGUGUUAGUGGAAGCGUCUGGAAAGGCGCGCGAUACAGGGUGACAGCCCCGUACACAAAAGCGCAUGUGCUGUGAGCUCGAUGAGUAGGGCGGGACACGUGGUAUCCUGUCUGAAUAUGGGGGGACCAUCCUCCAAGGCUAAAUACUCCUGACUGACCGAUAGUGAACCAGUACCGUGAGGGAAAGGCGAAAAGAACCCCGGCGAGGGGAGUGAAAAAGAACCUGAAACCGUGUACGUACAAGCAGUGGGAGCACAGGUUUACCUGUGUGACUGCGUACCUUUUGUAUAAUGGGUCAGCGACUUAUAUUCUGUAGCAAGGUUAACCGAAUAGGGGAGCCGGAGGGAAACCGAGUCUUAACCGGGCGUUAAGUUGCAGGGUAUAGACCCGAAACCCGGUGAUCUAGCCAUGGGCAGGUUGAAGGUUGGGUAACACUAACUGGAGGACCGAACCGACUAAUGUUGAAAAAUUAGCGGAUGACCUGUGGCUGGGGGUGAAAGGCCAAUCAAACCGGGAGAUAGCUGGUUCUCCCCGAAAGCUAUUUAGGUAGCGCCUCGUGAAUUCAUCUCCGGGGGUAGAGCACUGUUUCGGCUAGGGGGCCAUCCCGGCUUACCAACCCGAUGCAAACUGCGAAUACCGGAGAAUGUUAUCACGGGAGACACACGGCGGGUGCUAACGUCCGUCGUGAAGAGGGAAACAACCCAGACCGCCAGCUAAGGUCCCAAAGUCAUGGUUAAGUGGGAAACGAUGUGGGAAGGCCCAGACAGCCAGGAUGUUGGCUUAGAAGCAGCCAUCAUUUAAAGAAAGCGUAAUAGCUCACUGGUCGAGUCGGCCUGCGCGGAAGAUGUAACGGGGCUAAACCAUGCACCGAAGCUGCGGCAGCGAACGUAUCACCCAAGACAACUUUACGGAGUUGACGAUUGACGGAGCGAAGCGACGUCAAAGCGUUCAUUAAAGUCGAGUUGGCUUAGGGAUACGUUCGUUGGGUAGGGGAGCGUUCUGUAAGCCUGUGAAGGUGUGUCGUGAGGCAUGCUGGAGGUAUCAGAAGUGCGAAUGCUGACAUAAGUAACGAUAAAGCGGGUGAAAAGCCCGCUCGCCGGAAGACCAAGGGUUCCUGUCCAACGUUAAUCGGGGCAGGGUGAGUCGACCCCUAAGGCGAGGCCGAAAGGCGUAGUCGAUGGGAAACGGGUUAAUAUUCCCGUACUUGGUGUUACUGCGAAGGGGGGACGGAGAAGGCUAUGUUGGCCGGGCGACGGUUGUCCCGGUUUAAGCGUGUAGGUGUGUGUUCCAGGUAAAUCCGGUUCACUUUAACACUGAGGCGUGACGACGAGGCACUACGGUGCUGAAGCAACAAAUGCCCUGCUUCCAGGAAAAGCCUCUAAGCAUCAGGUAACAUCAAAUCGUACCCCAAACCGACACAGGUGGUCAGGUAGAGAAUACCAAGGCGCUUGAGAGAACUCGGGUGAAGGAACUAGGCAAAAUGGUGCCGUAACUUCGGGAGAAGGCACGCUGACACGUAGGUGAAGUGAUUUACUCAUGGAGCUGAAGUCAGUCGAAGAUACCAGCUGGCUGCAACUGUUUAUUAAAAACACAGCACUGUGCAAACACGAAAGUGGACGUAUACGGUGUGACGCCUGCCCGGUGCCGGAAGGUUAAUUGAUGGGGUCAGCGCAAGCGAAGCUCCUGAUCGAAGCCCCGGUAAACGGCGGCCGUAACUAUAACGGUCCUAAGGUAGCGAAAUUCCUUGUCGGGUAAGUUCCGACCUGCACGAAUGGCGUAAUGAUGGCCAGGCUGUCUCCACCCGAGACUCAGUGAAAUUGAACUCGCUGUGAAGAUGCAGUGUACCCGCGGCAAGACGGAAAGACCCCGUGAACCUUUACUAUAGCUUGACACUGAACAUUGAGCCUUGAUGUGUAGGAUAGGUGGGAGGCUUUGAAGUGUGGACGCCAGUCUGCAUGGAGCCGACCUUGAAAUACCACCCUUUAAUGUUUGAUGUUCUAACGUGGACCCGUAAUCCGGGUUGCGGACAGUGUCUGGUGGGUAGUUUGACUGGGGCGGUCUCCUCCUAAAGAGUAACGGAGGAGCACGAAGGUUGGCUAAUCCUGGUCGGACAUCAGGAGGUUAGUGCAAUGGCAUAAGCCAGCUUGACUGCGAGCGUGACGGCGCGAGCAGGUGCGAAAGCAGGUCAUAGUGAUCCGGUGGUUCUGAAUGGAAGGGCCAUCGCUCAACGGAUAAAAGGUACUCCGGGGAUAACAGGCUGAUACCGCCCAAGAGUUCAUAUCGACGGCGGUGUUUGGCACCUCGAUGUCGGCUCAUCACAUCCUGGGGCUGAAGUAGGUCCCAAGGGUAUGGCUGUUCGCCAUUUAAAGUGGUACGCGAGCUGGGUUUAGAACGUCGUGAGACAGUUCGGUCCCUAUCUGCCGUGGGCGCUGGAGAACUGAGGGGGGCUGCUCCUAGUACGAGAGGACCGGAGUGGACGCAUCACUGGUGUUCGGGUUGUCAUGCCAAUGGCACUGCCCGGUAGCUAAAUGCGGAAGAGAUAAGUGCUGAAAGCAUCUAAGCACGAAACUUGCCCCGAGAUGAGUUCUCCCUGAGACUUAGAGUCUCCUGAAGGAACGUUGAAGACGACGACGUUGAUAGGCCGGGUGUGUAAGCGCAGCGAUGCGUUGAGCUAACCGGUACUAAUGAACCGUGAGGCUUAACCUU